UACAGAGGUCUCAAGCGUUGUUCGGAUUCAUUGGGCGUAAAGGGUGCGUAGGCGGCUUUGUAAGUCAGUGGUGAAAUAUGGCAGCUCAACUGUCAAGGUGCCAUUGAUACUGCAGAGCUUGAGUACAGAUGAGGUAGGCGGAAUUGACGGUGUAGCGGUGAAAUGCUUAGAUAUCGUCAAGAACACCCUAUAGCGAAGGCAGCUUACUAGGCUGUAACUGACGCUGAGGCACGAAAAGUGUGGGGGGAUCAAAACAGGG
rnacentral:rRNA from 1 species